CUACCAUGCAGUCGAACGGUGACGAGGAAGCUUGCUCCUCUGAUCAGUGGCGAACGGGUGAGUAACACGUGAGUAACCUGCCCCAGACUCUGGAAUAACAGUUGGAAACAGCUGCUAAUACCGGAUACGAGACGGAGCCGCAUGGCUACUGUCUGGAAAGUUUUUCGGUCUGGGAUGGACUCGCGGCCUAUCAGCUUGUUGGUGAGGUAACGGCUCACCAAGGCGACGACGGGUAGCCGGCCUGAGAGGGCGACCGGCCACACUGGGACUGAGACACGGCCCAGACUCCUACGGGAGGCAGCAGUGGGGAAUAUUGCACAAUGGGCGAAAGCCUGAUGCAGCGACGCCGCGUGCGGGAUGAAGGCCUUCGGGUUGUAAACCGCUUUCAGCAGGGAAGAAGCGAAAGUGACGGUACCUGCAGAAGAAGCACCGGCUAACUACGUGCCAGCAGCCGCGGUAAUACGUAGGGUGCGAGCGUUGUCCGGAAUUAUUGGGCGUAAAGAGCUUGUAGGCGGUUUGUCGCGUCUGCUGUGAAAAUCCGGGGCUCAACCCCGGACCUGCAGUGGGUACGGGCAAACUA
rnacentral:rRNA from 1 species